rnacentral:lncRNA from 1 species
AGGCAAUGGAAUAACCAUAAGCAGAAGCAGAGGCUAGCUGCGAUCCAGAGAGCUGCUAGAAGAUUAGGAGGGGAUGCGAACGGGGAUUCAUACAGUGCAGCUUUAAAUAGAAGAUUAGUUCAAAGUUGAUUUCUUUUUUUUUUUUUUUUUUACCAAUGAACAAGCUGAGUUGGCGUAUGGAAAGAUGUUUAGUUGCAAAAGCCAUGAGCUAACUGUUUUUGCCAAAUGAUAGAUGUAUUGUGUUUGAAAUGUGGUACCUUGAUGAUAAUGCAAAAAGGUUUGUACAC